rnacentral:sRNA from 1 species
UUCCCAAGCUAGGGAGGGAUAUAACAGG